rnacentral:tRNA from 3 species
AUUUAAAUAGUUUAAGUAAAACGUUGAUUUGUGGUGUCAAAAUUAUAAUUAGUUAUUUUAAAUA